GACGAACGCUGGCGGCGUGCCUAAUACAUGCAAGUCGAACGAGAGCGACCGGUGCUUGCACUGGUCAAUCUAGUGGCGAACGGGUGAGUAACACGUGGGUAACCUGCCCAUCAGAGGGGGAUAACAUCCGGAAACGGAUGCUAAAACCGCAUAGGUCUUCGAGCCGCAUGGCUUGAAGAGGAAAAGAGGCGCAAGCUUCUGCUGAUGGAUGGACCCGCGGUGCAUUAGCUAGUUGGUGAGGUAACGGCUCACCAAGGCCGUGAUGCAUAGCCGACCUGAGAGGUUGAUCGGCCACAUUGGGACUGAGACACGGCCCAAACUCCUACGGGAGGCAGCAGUAGGGAAUCUUCCGCAAUGGACGCAAGUCUGACGGAGCAACGCCGCGUGAGUGAAGAAGGUUUUCGGAUCGUAAAACUCUGUUGUUAGAGAAGAACAAGUGCUAGAGUAACUGUUAGCGCCUUGACGGUAUCUAACCAGAAAGCCACGGCUAACUACGUG
rnacentral:rRNA from 1 species